UAGUCCACGCCGUAAACGAUGGUCACUAGCUGUUCGAACUUAGGUUUGAGUGGCUAAGCGAAAGUGAUAAGUGACCCACCUGGGGAGUACGUUCGCAAGAAUGAAACUCAAAGGAAUUGACGGGGGCCCGCACAAGCGGUGGAGCAUGUGGUUUAAUUCGAUGAUACGCGAGGAACCUUACCAGGGCUUAAAUGUAAAUUGACAGGUUUAGAGAUAGACUUUUCUUCGGACAAUUUACAAGGUGCUGCAUGGUUGUCGUCAGCUCGUGCCGUGAGGUGUCAGGUUAAGUCCUAUAACGAGCGCAACCCCUGUUGUUAGUUGCCAGCGAGUCAUGUCGGGAACUCUAACAAGACUGCCAGUGCAAACUGAGAGGAAGGUGGGGAUGACGUCAAAUCAUCACGGCCCUUACGUCCUGGGCUACACACGUGCUACAAUGGUAGGUACAGAGGGUAGCGAAGCCGCGAGGUGGAGCCAAAUCUCAUAAAGCCUAUCCCAGUUCGGAUUGGAGU
rnacentral:rRNA from 1 species